rnacentral:lncRNA from 1 species
AUGGGACAUCUCACACCAUCACGGAUGCCUACGCAGGCAAGGAGUACAUCAUCCAGGUGGCCGCCAAAGACAACGACAUCGGCACGUGGAGCGACUGGAGCGUGGCCGUCCAUGCCACCCCCUGGACGGAGGAGCCCAAGCACCUCACCACGGAGGCCCAGAUCACAGAGACGACGAGCACCAGCACCUCCUCCUUUGUGCCACCCCCCACCACCAAAAUCUGCGACAAGGGGGCCGUGGUGGGCAGCGGGGCCGUGGCAGUGUGUUGGACAGCUGGACUGGUCUUGGCUGCUUAUGGUGUCCUCUUUAUUUAAUCCCCGUCCGUCACAGCCCAGCGGAGACAACCUCCCACCGCCACCGCCACCGCCACCACCGCCCUCCCCUCCGCCUCCCUCCCGGUUUGAGUCUCUUAUCUCUUCGAUUUUGCACACGUUGAGGACGUAUCACGCUUCUCGCCAUCGCUGCGGAGGAGGACAGAGCCGCCGCCGCCGCCGCCGCUGCCGCCGCCCCCGGGGACCUGCCCCGAAAACCUCGCCGAGCCCAGAGCGAGGACACGCACUCGUCCCCCUGCCACCCGCCCUGUCCCUGCUCCCAGCAAGGCGCAGCGAGCCCGGGCACCGUGCCGCAGCCCCGGGACCCCGCGGGCCAGCCCCGCCAUCGCUCAUACAGCUAACCCGCCACGCCAAAGACGUGCCACCGCCACGCCACCGCGCCGCCGGGACGCGGGUGACAACGUGA